rnacentral:rRNA from 1 species
AUUGAACGCUGGCGGCAGGCUUUACACAUGCAAGUCGGGCGAGCGGCGGACGGGUGAGUAAUAUAUUGGAAAAUACCUAAUAGUGGGGGAUAACCACUGGAAAGGGUGGCUAAUACCGCAUACUAUUAGAUGUGCCAAUAUCGGAUUAGCUAGUAGGUGGGGUAAUGGCCUACCUAGGCGACGAUCCGUAGCGGGUCUGAGAGGAUGAUCUGCCACACUGGAACUGAGACACGGCCCAGACUCCGACGGGAGGCAGCAGUGGGUAAUAUUGGACAAUGGGCGCAAGCCUGAUGCAGCCAUGCCGCGUGUGUGAAGAAGGCCUUCGGGUUGUAAAGCACUUUGAUCGAGGAAGCGGUACUUAAAGAAGAAGCACCGGCUAACUACGUGCCAGCAGCCGCGGGAAUAC